GCCCUCAGCUGUUCUUGGUGCCAUUACUGCUCCCUGCACUUUUUAUCCUGCACCUCGGAGACCCCAAACUGCCAAACGAGGUGAAUUAUGGCCAGUUAUAAGGAGUGGACUCUGAGCCACGGGGGACAGGACAUAGUCAGAAGAACUAACCACAGUUCUGACCAUUAAAAGCCAGCCUGACACUGGCCCUUCAUCUUACCUCCUCCACGAGACGAGUGCUCCCAACCUUUGCUUCCCAUGAGAAGAGACAGAGCCGAGAGAAGAGAGCCCCCUCAGCCCAGGCACGCUUCCCCCCAUCAUUAUGAGUUAAGCUUCUCACCUCUACCUUUCUUUCUAAGAGACUCCCUCUCUUUCUUUCUCUCUUCCUCUCUCUUUAUCAUACUGUGGCUUUUUGGCUUUGUGCUAUCUGUUUUCUUUUUGUUGCUCUUUUUUUUUCUGUCUCUGCCUGUCCUUCUUUAUUUUCCUCCACAAGGUUAAUUGCAUUAGCUAAAAGAAACCUGGCCUGUUGGUUGCUUAUGGAGGUUGCCGUUAGGCAUAUGACCCUCACAAAUCUGCUCUGGCCACCUAACACCACAGCUGAGAUAAUAGGGCUGCUGAUGAGGCUUCAAUUGGUGUCCUGGUCUGUUGGGUAUCCCAAAAUAACAGUGAAGCAGUGAUUUAGAGCUUUUCUCUUGACCUUGGAGCCUGACAGUUGCGAGAAGAAACCCCACCAGCACCAAAUACUUAUUCCCUCAAUUUAACCGCAGACCGAGGUGUUUCUCCAGCAUCAUCGGAUCAAUGAAAACCCCAGGGACGAUGCUGAUUGCCAAAGAUUGGACAAGCUAACAAGCGCAUGAUGAGGAACCAGUUGGUUCUUCUUGCUUUCUCUCAGUUUUCGGAGGUCUUUGGGACAGGCACACACAAAAGGGAAGCUGAUCCGUGGAUGUAUGCUGUCAUUCUCUUGGAGGCUGCUUUUCUUCCUUGCUUUGACUUAGUUCAACCUGACAGGGAGCUUUUAAGGAUAUUUUGGGGUUCAAAAAUGAAUGGAAUACCAGGAAAUCAAUGAAAGGAUGUAUCCAUGGAUCGGAACUGUUGGACUAAGUUUGAACUCCCUUUCAGUUCUAGACACUGACUCAUUUAUCAGACUCUUCCAUCGCAGAGGUGGCCUAUUGAGAUU